rnacentral:rRNA from 1 species
GUCCAGACUCCUACGGGAGGCAGCAGUGGGGAAUAUUGCGCAAUGGGCGAAAGCCUGACGCAGCGACGCCGCGUGAGGGAUGAAGGUCUUCGGAUCGUAAACCUCUGUCAGCAGGGAAGAACGGUCACUGUGCUAAUCAGCAGUGAAUUGACGGUACCCAAGGAGGAAGCUCCGGCUAACUACGUGCCAGCAGCCGCGGUAAUACGUAGGGAGCAAGCGUUGUCCGGAAUUACUGGGUGUAAAGGGAGCGUAGGCGGGAUAGUAAGUUGAUUGUUAAAACUAUCGGCUCAACUGGUAGAUGCGAUCAAAACUGCAAUUCUUGAGUGAAGUAGAGGCAGGCGGAAUUCCUAGUGUAGCGGUGAAAUGCGUAGAUAUUAGGAGGAACACCAGUGGCGAAGGCGGCCUGCUGGGCUUUAACUGACGCUGAGGCUCGAAAGUGUGGGUAGCAAACAGGAUUAGAUACCCCCGUAAU